ensembl:snoRNA SNORA53 small nucleolar RNA, H/ACA box 53
CACACGUUCCUUAGAUCCACCUCUGGGGAGACUUCUAGCUCUUGGGCUGCAGCUCCAGACUGGAGUCUCCCAACAGCUUUUCUGGCUGUACAGUUGGAGGUGCUUGAGUCAUUGGCGUGUGAGAGCAGUCUAUCUGCUUUUCAGCUCAGUUACUGCCCUGGCACCCUUGCUGGACUUUACCAGGGCAGGCAAGCUGGAGUGCGGACAAA